rnacentral:tRNA from 1 species
UCCCUGGUGGCUCAGCGGUACAGAAUCUGCCUGCAAUGCAGGAGACCUGGGUUCAAUCCCUUGGUUGGGAA